AUUGAACGCUGGCGGCAGGCCUAACACAUGCAAGUCGAACGAGUGGCGUACGGGUGAGUAAUGUCUGGGAAACUGCCCGAUGGAAGGGGAUAACUACUGGAAACGGUAGCUAAUACCGCAUACCAUCGGAUGUGCCCAGAUGGGAUUAGCUAGUAGGUGGGGUAACGGCUCACCUAGGCGACGAGACCUAGCUGGUCUGAGAGGAUGACCACCCCCCCUGGAACUGAGAUACGGUCCAGACUCCUCCUUAAAUCACAAUUACAAAAUAUUACACAAUGCUCGCAAGCCUGAUCGAGCCAUGCGGCGUGUAUGAAGAAACCCUUCGGGUUUUAAUGUACUUUCAGCGGGGAGGCGUUACCCGCAGAAGAAGCACCGGCUAACUCCGUGCCAGCAGCCGCGGUAAUUC
rnacentral:rRNA from 1 species